GAAGCCCUCCAUCUGGAUGUGGUCACAGAGGGAAGUGAGAUUGCAAUCCAGCGCCCGGAGCUCGCUACUGCUCCGGUCAUUGUCCGAGAGCUGAGAGAGUUGAAUCGUCAUUUUUAUCUGGUGCGGUCCAUAAGUUCGAGGAUACUGUUGAUAUUGACCUUCCAUUGUUAGGUUAUUUAGGUCCUUUUGGAGUUCAGAGCUAUAGAAUGGAGAUCAAAAGAGAUGAGGAAGCCAUGGGAGAACACAGAAAAAAGCAUUUGUGUGUACUUG
rnacentral:misc_RNA from 1 species